rnacentral:rRNA from 1 species
GAAUUCGCCCUUAGAGUUUGCUUUUGGCUCAGGAUGAACGCUGGCGGCGUGCCUAACACAUGCAAGUCGAACGAUGAAACCGCCCCCGGGCGGACAUGAAGUGGCGAACGGGUGAGUAACACGUGACCGACCUGCCCCCCGCCCAGGGACAGCCCCCCGAAAGGGGGAUUAAUACCUGGUACUCCGGAAGCGGCGCAUGCCGCCCCCGGGAAAGCUCCGGCGGCGGGGGAUGGGGUCGCGGCCCAUCAGGUAGACGGCGGGGCAGAGGCCCACCGUGCCGACGACGGGUAGCCGGGUUGAGAGACCGACCGGCCACAUUGGGACUGAGAUACGGCCCAGACUCCUACGGGAGGCAGCAGUGGGGAAUAUUGCACAAUGGGGGAAACCCUGAUGCAGCGACGCCGCGUGGAGGAAGAAGGUCUUCGGAUUGUAAACUCCUGUUGUUGAGGAAGAUAAUGACGGUACUCAACAAGGAAGUGACGGCUAACUACGUGCCAGCAGCCGCGGUAAAACGUAGGUCACAAGCGUUGUCCGGAAUUACUGGGUGUAAAGGGAGCGCAGGCGGGAAGACAAGUUGGAAGUGAAAUCCAUGGGCUCAACCCAUGAACUGCUUUCAAAACUGUUUUUCUUGAGUAGUGCAGAGGUAGGCGGAAUUCCCGGUGUAGCGGUGGAAUGCGUAGAUAUCGGGAGGAACACCAGUGGCGAAGGCGGCCUACUGGGCACCAACUGACGCUGAGGCUCGAAAGUGUGGGUAGCAAACAGAAUUAGAUACCCUGGUAGUCCACACUGUAAACGAUGAUU